UUUUGCCAUCACUUGGCGUCCGUCGUCUGUCGUUGUCGGUCGUCGUCCGUCUGAUGUUAACUAUUUCAAACAUCUUCUCCUCUGAAACUACUGAACCAAUUCCAACCAAACUUAAGCUGUAUGAUGCUUAGGGUAUCUAGAAUAAAGUUUGUGUUUUAUUUACUGUUUCUAAAAACAUGGCCGCCAUGGCUAAAAAUAGAACAUAGGGGUAAAAUGCAGUUUUUGGCUUAUAUCUCAAAAACCAAAGCAUUUAGAGCAAAUCUGACAUGGGGUUAAAGUGUUCAUGAGGUGAAGUUCUAUCAGCCCUGAAAUUUUCAGUUCAAUCUGAUAACCCAUUGUUGGGUUGCUGCCACUAAAUUGGUAAUUUUAAGGAAAUUUUGCAGUUUUUAUACGACCGCAAAAAUUAAAAAUUUUUUGGUCGUAUAUUGGUAUGACGUUGGCGUCGUCGUCGUCGUCGUCGUCGUCGUCGUUGUCGUCGUCGUCGUCGUCGUCGUCCGGCGUCGUCCGGCGUCGUCCGAAGACACAUUGGUUUUCGCACUCUAACUUUAGUUUAAGUGAAUGGAUCUCCAUGAAAUUUCACCAUAAGGUUCAAUACCACAAAAGGAAGGUUGGGAUUGAUUUUGGGGGUUAUGGUACCAACAGUUAAGGAAUUAGGGGCCAAAAAGGGGCCAAAAAUAAGCAUUUUUGUAACUUUCAGACAAUAACUUGUGUGUAAGUGUAUGGAUCUCUCUGACAUUGUACCACAAGGUUCCAUAUCACAAAGGGAAGGCUGUAAUUGAUUUUGGGGGUAAUUGCCUCAAAAUUUUAGGAAUUAGGGGCCAAAAAAGGGGCAAAAAACAAGCAUUUUUCUAGUUUCAUGACAAUAACUUGUGUGUAAGUGUUUGGAUAUUUCUGAAAUUGUACUACAAGGUUCCAUAUCACAAAGGGAAAGCUGGAAUUGAGUUUGGGGGUAAUUGCCAGAAACGUUUAGGAAUUGGGGGCCAAAAAGGGGCCAAAAAUAAGCAUUUUUCUAGUUUCCAGACAAUAACUUGUGUUCAAGUGUAUGGAUCUCUCUGAAAUUGUACUGCAAGGUAUCAUACCACAAAGGGAAGGCUGGGAUUGAGUUUGGGGGUGAUGAAUCAUAAGGGGGUUCAAAAAAUUUGGGGGGGGGGGGGAUUUUAUUUUUUUUUAUUUUUCUUUUUUUCCUUUUUUUUUUCUUUUAAAAUUUUCCAUUUUAAGUUGGUUAUUUCUGAUUUAUAUUUAAAAGCAAAUAAUAAUGAUAUGGUAGGAGAUACACACCAAACAGGAUGUGUAAAUUAUUAUAUAAUAAGUAUUGUGCAAUAGCAAGAAAUUUUCAAUUGCACAGUAUUGCACAAUAGCAAGAAAUCUUCAAUUGCACAGUAUUGCGCAAUAGCAAGAAAUCUUCAAUUUAACAGUAUUGCGCAAUAGCAAGAAAUAUCCAAUAGCACAAUAUUGCGCAAUAGCAAGAAAUUGUCAAUUGUACAGUAUUGCGCAAUAGCAAGAAAUAUUCAAUUGCACAGUAUUGUGCAAAAGAAGAUACUUCGUAUAAAUUGCUUAUUUCUUGAUCAAUUUUAAUGGGGUUUUAUUCUUGAAUUCUUGGGGUUCUUUAAUAUGCUGAAUCUAACCGUGUAUUAAGUUUUUGGAUUUUGGGCCCCGUUUUUAAAUUGGUCCACAUUGAGGUCCAAAGGGUCCAAAAUUAAACUUUGUUUGAUUUCAUCAAAAAUUGAAUUAUUGGGGUUCUUUGAUAUGCCGAAUCUAACCGUGUAUUUAGAUUUUUAAUUUUGGGUCCCGUUUUUUAAAUUUGUCUACAUUAAGGUCCAAAGGGUCCAAAAUUAAACUUAGUUUGAUUUUAACAAAAAUUGAAUUCUUAAGGUUCUUUGAUAUGCUGAAUCUAAACAUGUGUUUAGAUUUUUGAUUAUGGGCCCAGUUUUCAAGUUGGUCCAAGUUGGGGUCCAAAAUUAAACUUUGUUUGAUUUCAACAAAAAUUGAAUAUAUGGGGUUCUUUGAUAUGCUGAAUCUAAACAUGUAUUUAGAUUUUAGAUUUUUGGCCCAGUUUUCAAGUUGGUCCAAAUUGGGGUCCAAAAUUAAACUUUGUUUGAUUUCAACAAAAAUUGAAUAUAUGGGGUUCUUUGAUAUGCUGAAUCUUACCAUGUAUUUAGAUUUUUUAUUUGUGGACCCACUAUCAAAUUGGUUCAUAUUGAGGUCAAAAGGGUCCAAAAUUAAACUUUGUUUGAUUUCAUCAAAAAUUGAAUUAUUGGGGUUCUUUGAUAUGCCAAAUCUAACCGUGUAUUUAGAUUUUUAAUUUUGGGUCCUGUUUUUUAAAUUGGUCUACAUUAAGGUCCAAAGGGUCCAAAAUUAAACUUAGUUUGAUUUUAACAAAAAUUGAAUUUUUGGGGUUCUUUGAUAUGCUGAAUCUAAACAUGUGUUUAGAUUUUUGAUUAUGGGACCAGUUUUCAAGUUGGUCCAAGUUGGGGUCCAAAAUUAAACUUUGUUUGAUUUCAACAAAAAUUGAAUAUAUGGGGUUCUUUGAUAUGCUGAAUCUAAACAUGUAUUUAGAUUUUAGAUUUUUGGCCCAGUUUUCAAGUUGGUCCAAAUUGGGGUCCAAAAUUAAACUUUGUUUGAUUUCAACAAAAAUUGAAUAUAUGGGGUUCUUUGAUAUGCUGAAUCUUACCAUGUAUUUAGAUUUUUUAUUUGUGGGCCCGCUAUCAAAUUGGUUCAUAUUGAGGUCAAAAGGGUCCAAAAUUAAACUUUGUUUGAUUUCAUCAAAAAUUGAAUUAUUGGGGUUCUUUGAUAUGCCAAAUCUAACUGUGUUUUUAGAUUUUUAAUUUUGGGUCCCGUUUUUUAAAUUUGUCUACAUUAAGGUCCAGAGGGUCCAAAAUUAAACUUAGUUUGAUUUUAACAAAAUUUGAAUUCUUGGGGUUCUUUGAUAUGCUGAAUCUAAACAUGUGUUUAGAUUUUUGAUUAUGGGCCCAGUUUUCAAGUUGGUCCAAGUUGGGGUCCAAAAUUAAACUUUGUUUGAUUUCAACAAAAAUUGAAUAUAUGGGGUUCUUUGAUAUGCUGAAUCUAACCAUGUUUUUUGAUUUUUGGGCCCCGUUAUCAAAUUGGUUCACAUUGAGGUCAAAAGGGUCCAAAAUUAAACUUUGUUUGAUUUCAUCAAAAAUUGAAUUCUUUGGAUUCUUUGAUAUGCCAAAUCUAACCAUGUAUUUAGAUUUUGGAUAUUGGACCAUAAUAGGUAAAUUAAAAAAUUUUAAGUUCUUAAA